UAACAUCCAGCUCACUUUGAAGGUUCGCCUUCUGAAAAAAAACCAAUUCCUAUUACCUGACA
rnacentral:snoRNA from 1 species